AGAGUUUGAUCCUGGCUCAGGACGAACGCUGGCGGCGUGCUUAACACAUGCAAGUCGAGCGAUGAAACUUCCUUCGGGAAGUGGAUUAGCGGCGGACGGGUGAGUAACACGUGGGUAACCUGCCUCAAAGUGGGGGAUAGCCUUCCGAAAGGAAGAUUAAUACCGCAUAAUAUAAGAGAAUCGCAUGAUUUUUUUAUCAAAGAUUUAUUGCUUUGAGAUGGACCCGCGGCGCAUUAGCUAGUUGGUAAGGUAACGGCUUACCAAGGCAACGAUGCGUAGCCGACCUGAGAGGGUGAUCGGCCACAUUGGAACUGAGACACGGUCCAGACUCCUACGGGAGGCAGCAGUGGGGAAUAUUGCGCAAUGGGGGAAACCCUGACGCAGCAACGCCGCGUGGGUGAUGAAGGUCUUCGGAUUGUAAAGCCCUGUUUUCUAGGACGAUAAUGACGGUACUAGAGGAGGAAGCCACGGCUAACUACGUGCCAGCAGCCGCGGUAAUACGUAGGUGGCGAGCGUUGUCCGGAUUUACUGGGCGUAAAGGGUGCGUAGGCGGAUGUUUAAGUGGGAUGUGAAAUCCCCGGGCUUAACCUGGGGGCUGCAUUCCAAACUGGAUAUCUAGAGUGCAGGAGAGGAAAGCGGAAUUCCUAGUGUAGCGGUGAAAUGCGUAGAGAUUAGGAAGAACACCAGUGGCGAAGGCGGCUUUCUGGACUGUAACUGACGCUGAGGCACGAAAGCGUGGGUAGCAAACAGGAUUAGAUACCCUGGUAGUCCACGCCGUAAACGAUGGAUACUAGGUGUAGGGGGUAUCAACUCCCCCUGUGCCGCAGUUAACACAAUAAGUAUCCCGCCUGGGGAGUACGGUCGCAAGAUUAAAACUCAAAGGAAUUGACGGGGGCCCGCACAAGCAGCGGAGCAUGUGGUUUAAUUCGAAGCAACGCGAAGAACCUUACCUGGACUUGACAUCCCUUGCAUAGCCUAGAGAUAGGUGAAGCCCUUCGGGGCAAGGAGACAGGUGGUGCAUGGUUGUCGUCAGCUCGUGUCGUGAGAUGUUAGGUUAAGUCCUGCAACGAGCGCAACCCUUGUUAUUAGUUGCUACCAUUAAGUUGAGCACUCUAAUGAGACUGCCUGGGUAACCAGGAGGAAGGUGGGGAUGACGUCAAAUCAUCAUGCCCCUUAUGUCCAGGGCUACACACGUGCUACAAUGGUAGGUACAAUAAGACGCAAGACCGUGAGGUGGAGCAAAACUUAUAAAACCUAUCUCAGUUCGGAUUGUAGGCUGCAACUCGCCUACAUGAAGCUGGAGUUGCUAGUAAUCGCGAAUCAGAAUGUCGCGGUGAAUACGUUCCCGGGCCUUGUACACACCGCCCGUCACACCAUGAGAGCUGGUAACACCCGAAGUCCGUGAGGUAACCGUAAGGAGCCAGCGGCCGAAGGUGGGAUUAGUGAUUGGGGUGAAGUCGUAACAAGGUAGCCGUAGGAGAACCUGCGGCUGGAUCACCU
rnacentral:rRNA from 1 species